rnacentral:rRNA from 1 species
CGAGAUUCCCAAAGUAGCGGCGAGCGAAAUGGGAAGAGCCUGUACGUGAUAGUCGGACCGAUAACAGAAUCCUCUGGAAAUAGGAGCCAUAGUGGGUGAUAGCCCCGUAUGUGAAAUCGGACCGGUGAUACUAAGCGUACGACAAGUAGGGCGGGACACGUGACAUCCUGUCUGAAUAUGGGGGGACCAUCCUCCAAGGCUAAAUACUCGUAAUCGACCG